GCUGGGUGUGUUGGCUCACACCUGUAAUCCCAGAACUUUGGGAGGCUGAGGCAGGUGGAUCACCUGAGGUCAGGAGUUUGAGACCAGCCUGACCAACAUGGUGAAACUCUGUCUCUA
rnacentral:SRP_RNA from 1 species